rnacentral:tRNA from 1 species
GGCCUGUUAGCUCAGUUGGUAGAGCAGCGGAUUGAAAAUCCGCGUGUCCUUGGUUCGAUUCCNGAGGCCU